GGUAAAUCCGUCUGACGAGUCCCAAAAAUAGGACGAAACUUAUG
rnacentral:hammerhead_ribozyme from 11 species